ensembl:piRNA 21ur-3815 ncRNA
UAGCUCGCAAAACUUUUUUGC